AACCAUAGAAACCUGCGGAGUACCUGCGGAGGGAUCAUUACCGAGUUUACAACUCCCAAACCCCUGUGAACAUACCACUUGUUGCCUCGGCGGAUCAGCCCGCUCCCGGUAAAACGGGACGGCCCGCCAGAGGACCCCUAAACUCUGUUUCUAUAUGUAACUUCUGAGUAAAACCAUAAAUAAAUCAAAACUUUUAACAACGGAUCU
rnacentral:misc_RNA from 1 species